GAUGAACGCUGGCGGCGUGCCUAAUACAUGCAAGUCGAACGGGGAGUAGCAAUACUCUUAGUGUCGAACGGGUGAGUAACGCGUUGGUACCUGCCCCGAAGCGGGGGAUAACGGACCGAAAGGGCCGCUAAUACCCCAUGUGCUCGGUAACGAGUAAAGGUGAAAACCACUUUGGGAGGGGCAUGCGUCCCAUCAGCUAGUUGGUAAGGUAACGGCUUACCAAGGCGAUGACGGGUAGGGGACCUGAGAGGGUGGCCCCCCACAAUGGAACUGAAACACGGUCCAUACACCUACGGGUGGCAGCCGUAGGGAAUAUUGGUAACGGGCGCCAGCCUGAACCAGCAACGCCGCGUGUGCGAUGACGGCCUUCGGGUUGUAAAGCACUUUUGACUGGGACGAGGAAGGACGGUACCGGUCGAAUCAGCCUCGGCUAACUACGUG
rnacentral:rRNA from 1 species